rnacentral:misc_RNA from 1 species
GGAUUGUUCAUUCAUAUAUACAGCUUUGGUGGUAGUGAUUGCUGCAUAUCAUCUUUGAAAGUAGUGUUUGUAUUUCAAUUUAAAGCAAGCAGUCAGCCAGUCUCAAUUUGAUGUUUGGGAUCAGUAUUAGGCUCUUCUUUAAAAAUGAUUCUUAAAAUUAAUUUACCAUAUCAGGGGAUCACAUUAGGCAUGCUUUUGUUGGUCAUGGGAAGUAUAGGUUCUUAUUUACAUUUGUAGUUUACUUGUUUCUAGUUUAUGCCUUCA